UGGACUGUAAUGAUAUAUGUUUACUGUAUGGACUAGCAGGCAUAAAGUAUAAAGAUGACUCCGGCGUUACAAUGAUCUGAGUGACCACGGCGUUGGUCGUGUCGCUGUGGAUUACGCGCCGUCUCGCGAAAGGGAUGAGUUCGGUGAAACCAACAGUUUGUCAAGGUCAAGAAACGUGGAGUGAAUGGAUAGAAUGUCGGUGUGUCAAUGGAUCGUACAACCGGAAACGGAACUGCCAACCUUUAGGGUGUUUCUUCGUGCAGCGGAGGUCAUUUGGAGACAGAUGUAUGCAGCUAUGACAACUGUCUACCAAUCGAAACAGAGACUAGCAUUCUGACCACAGUAAUGGUAACAAUGACACUUUUGGGCGUGUGUCUCUUUGGCGGUGUUAUGUUGUAUAGAAAAUGGGGAAGAGUAACAAGGUUGAGACCUAAACGAGGAAGUGUGAAGAUGCAGCCUCAGAUUGUUUACGUGAAACCCAUGAUUGCCGACGACAGGGAUCGGCCGAGUUCGUCUCCUUGCGUUAACUCCGAAGUGAUGGCUUCCGGUCUGGUGACACGCGACCUCAUAUCGGUUCUGCACUCCCACACCAACCUUCUGGAUCCUCAAAGUCCGCUCAAUAGUUACUCGCCUAGCGGUUACCAUCGAAGCAGCUUCGCUUUCCCCAAAGCUCCGAAAACACAAGCUACUCUUUACGAAAACUGUUACUUCUCCUAGGGCUCUGAAAACGAGAGUUUUAUUGGCCAAUUGAUCUGUGAUUGACUUUGCUGUCAAAUGUUCUAAAUUGACAGAAUAAAAUGUGUGGAGGUUCUCGCCAUUUGUUUGAUUUGUGUUUUACCCCGUACGUGAGAAUAUUUCACUUACUAUCCUACGAUUUAUUGUGAAGAUCUUAAGGGUGAUGUCGACAGUUCAUGUUUCCGGGUAACCGGAGCGGUGAUAUCUGACCUCUUUGCACAGCUCCCGGUUCACGGUGGAGAUGGCGCUAGGCAGGUUGUGUUUUUUCGCCAUUAUACUAUGACUUUGAUCAUGUUUGUUUAUUUGCGGUGUAUGUAUAUCAACAUUCAAUCUGUUAAAGCCUUAAAUAAAGUAAAUUUCUGUUGAUUUCUGAAGUGAUACGUCGAAGGCCUAUCAAAUAAAUGACUAAAUCUACAUCAGCUAUAGAAUCCGUGUAUAGACGUUCAACCUGAGUUAGUAUGUUUGUCCCAUGCUGGUGCAUGCAGGGAUAUAGAGUGUUACCAUUUAUGAUGCUUGCAAUUUUAAACUUCUGCAGCCAGUUUUCUCUUAGCCAAAUAAAAGAUA